rnacentral:rRNA from 1 species
AUGUUCGCAAGAACAUGGCAAACGGGUGAGUAACGCAUUGGUAAACAUACACAAAGGUGGAGAAUAAGCUUCCGAAAGGAAGUCUAAUACUUCAUGUGGUUGCAGUUCAUAAGAACUGUAAAGAAAGCCUUCGGGCGCCUUUUGGAAUGGCCUAUGUCCCUUUAGCUAGUUGGUGAGGUAAUGGCUCACCAAAGGCAAUGAUGGGUAGCUGGUCUAAGUGGAGGAUCAGCCACAUCGGAAACUGAGAACUGUCCGAAACUCCUACGGGAUGGCUGCAGUCGAGAAUCUUCGGCAAUGGGGGGAAACCCCGACCGAGCGACGCCGCGUGAAUGAAGAAGCCCUUCGGGGUGUAAAGGUUCUUUUAUCUGUGAAAAAUGCUCUGCACGUUUGUGCAUUUGUUUCGUUAUGGUGGUUCGACAAGCUCACCAUGACAUGUAACGAGUUCACCAAAGUGCAGAGUUGAUGGUAACAGAUGAAUAAGCAACGACUAACUUCGUGCCAGCAGUCGCGGUGAUACGAAGGUUGCAAGCGUUAUCCGGAAUUAUUGGGCGUAAAGCGUCAGUAAACUGUUUAUUAAGUCGAAUAUUAAAUCUAUGGGCUCAACCCAUAGGCUUGUAUUCGAUACUGGUAGACUUGAGGUCGGUAGAGGUAAUAGGAAUUCCUGGUGUAGUAGUGAAAUGCGUUAAUAUCAGGAAGAACGCCAAUUGUGUAAACUUAUUACUGGGCCGCACCUGACGUCGAAUGACGAAAAGCGUGGGGAGCGAACGGGAUUAGAUACCCCGGUAGUCCACGCUUGUAAACUAUGGGGUACUAGGUUUUUGGGGAGUGUCGACCCUUUUCAGAACCGUAAGCUAACGCGGUUUAAGUACCUCGCCUGGGAAGUACGGUCGCAAGACUAAAACUCAAAGGAAUUGACGGGAGCCCGCACACAAGCGGUGGAGCAUGUGGUUUAAUUCGUCAGUAAGCGAAGAAACCUUACCAAGGCUUGACAUCCUCGGAAUUUUUCUGGAAACAGAAAAGUGCCGCAAGGGAGCCGAGUGACAGGUGCUGCAUGGCCGUCGUCAGCUCGUGUCGUGAGAUGUUGGGUUAAGUCCCCGCAACGAGCGCAACCCCUUUUUCAAUGUUGGAUUUUUCAUUGGAGACUGCCUGGGAUAACCAGGAGGAAGGUGGGGAUGACGUCAGGUCAGCAUGGCCCUUUGAUGCCUUGGGCGACACACGUGCUACAAUGCGAAGUUACAAUAGGCCGCUUAGGUCGCAAGAUGAAGCAAAUCCUACCUAAACCUUCGCUCAGUUCAGAUUGGGGUCUGCAACUCGACCCCAUGAAGUUGGAAUCGCUAGUAAUCGCAAAUCAGCCACGUUGCGGUGAAUACGUUUCUCGGGCUUUGUACACACCGCCCGUCAAGUCAGAGGAGCCGGAAAUACUCGAAGUCCCUGUGCCGCAAGGCGUGGGGCCUAAGGUAGAGCCGGUGGAUUAGGGCUAAGUCG